rnacentral:rRNA from 1 species
GGCGGCACGCCUAACACAUGCAAGUCGAACGAAGUAGCAAUACUUAGUGGCAGACGGGUGAGUAACAUGUGGGUAUCUACCCUUUGGCCUGGAAUAACACGAGGAAACUUGUGCUAAUACCGGAUAAGUCUUUACGGAGAAAGCUUUAUGCACCAUUGGAUGAGCCCGCACUUGAUUAGUUUGUUGGUAGGGUAAUGGCCUACCAAGACUAUGAUCAAUAGCUGAUUUGAGAGGAUGAUCAGCCACAUUGGGACUGAGACACGGCCCAAACUCCUACGGGAGGCAGCAGUGGGGAAUCUUGCACAAUGGAGGAAACUCUGAUGCAGCGAUGCCGCGUGAGUGAAGAAGGCCUUUGGGUUGUAAAGCUCUUUCGUCGGGGAAGAAAAUGACUGUACCCGAAUAAGAAGGUCCGGCUAACUUCGUGCCAGCAGCCGCGGUAAUACGAAGGGACCUAGCGUAGUUCGGAAUUACUGGGCUUAAAGAGUUCGUAGGUGGUUGAAAAAGUUGGUGGUGAAAUCCCAGAGCUUAACUCUGGAACUGCCAUCAAAACUUUUCAGCUAGAGUAUGAUAGAGGAAAGCAGAAUUUCUAGUGUAGAGGUGAAAUUCGUAGAUAUUAGAAAGAAUACCAAUUGCGAAGGCAGCUUUCUGGAUCAUUACUGACACUGAGGAACGAAAGCAUGGGUAGCGAAGAGGAUUAGAUACCCUCGUAGUCCAUGCCGUAAACGAUGUGUGUUAGACGUUGGAAAUUUAUUUUC